UAGAUUAGCAAUGAUGAUAAAUGCUUAUUAAUCCCAGCUCAUUACGAGAUUUCCUUUGUGGAGAUCGGGGAAUUGAACUUUAUCCAAUAUUUAUCUGAGUUUUUUU
rfam:Spinacia oleracea cultivar SynViroflay scaffold86912.con0001.1, whole genome shotgun sequence.